rnacentral:rRNA from 1 species
UACGAAGGGGGCGAGCGUUGUUCGGAAUCAUUGGGCGUAAAGGGCGCGUAGGCGGACCUGUAAGUCGAUUGUGAAAUCCCUGGGCUUAACCCGGGAAUUGCAGUCGAAACUGCAAGUCUUGAGUUCUCGAGAGGAUGGUGGAAUUCCUGGAGUAGUAGUGAAAUACGUAGAUAUCAGGAGGAACACCGGAGGCGAAGGCGGCCAUCUGGCGAGACACUGACGCUAAGGCGCGAAAGCGUGGGUAGCAAACAGG